UACGUAGGGUGCGAGCGUUAAUCGGAAUUACUGGGCGUAAAGCGUGCGCAGGCGGUUUUGUAAGCCAGAUGUGAAAUCCCCGGGCUUAACCUGGGAACUGCAUUUGGGACUGCAAGGCUUGAGUGCGGCAGAGGAGACUGGAAUUCCUGGUGUAGCAGUGAAAUGCGUAGAUAUCAGGAGGAACACCGGUGGCGAAGGCGGAUCUCUGGGCCUUACCUGACGCUGAGGCGCGAAAGCUAGGGGAGCGAACAGG
rnacentral:rRNA from 1 species